GACGAACGCUGGCGGCGUGCUUAACACAUGCAAGUCGAACGGAAAGGCCCUGCUUUUGUGGGGUGCUCGAGUGGCGAACGGGUGAGUAACACGUGAGUAACCUGCCCUUGACUUUGGGAUAACUUCAGGAAACUGGGGCUAAUACCGGAUAGGAGCUCCUGCUGCAUGGUGGGGGUUGGAAAGUUUCGGCGGUUGGGGAUGGACUCGCGGCUUAUCAGCUUGUCGGGGGGGUAGUGGCUUACCAAGGCUUUGACGGGUAGCCGGCCUGAGCGGGUGACCGGCCACAUUGGGACUGAGAUGCGGCCCAGACUACUACGGGAGGCAGCAGUGGGGUAUGGUGCACAAUGGGCUGAGGCCUGAUGCAGCAACGCCGCGUGGGGGAUGACGGCCUUCGGGUUGUAAACCGCUUUCGCCUGUGACGAAGCGUGAAUGACGGUAAUGGGUAAAGAAGCACCGGCUAACUACGUG
rnacentral:rRNA from 1 species